rnacentral:tRNA from 1 species
GUCCCUAUAGUUCAAUUGGAUAGAACACAAGCUUGCGGAGCUUGGAAUAGAGGUUCGAAUCCUCUUAGGGGCACCA